rnacentral:lncRNA from 1 species
UCUGGGUAUAUUUUACAUAGUAGCAGUACCUGGCCAGUAGGUGGAGCUGUGGGCAUUUGGUGUCAAUAGCGGACGUCAGUCACCAAUAGAGUAAGACGUCAACAGUGCUAGUUACACGGAGCAACACAGACUUAAAAACUGCUUUGUUUUCUCACUAUUUCCACAGCUUUCAAAUGCCAGAAUGGUGUGUGUGAAGGGGAAAGACGUUACCAUGACAACGGUUACUAUGCUAGAGGCUG